AUUGAACGCUGGCGGCAGGCCUAACACAUGCAAGUCGAGCGAGCGGCGGACGGGUGAGUAAUGUCUGGGAAACUGCCUGAUGGAGGGGGAUAACUAAUGGAAACGGUAGCUAAUACCGCAUACCAUCAGAUGUGCCCAGAUGGGAUUAGCUAGUAGGUGGGGUAACGGCUAACCUAGGCGACGAUCCCUAGCUGGUCUGAGAGGAUGACCAGCACACCUGGAACGUGGACACGGUCCAGACUCCUACGGGAGGCAGCAGUGGGGAAUAUUGAACAAUGGGCGCAAGCCUGAUGCAGCCAUGCCGCGUGUAUGAAGAAGGCCUUCGGGUUGUAAAGUACUUUCAGCGGGGAGUCGUUACCCGCAGAAGAAGCACCGGCUAACUCCGUGCCAGCAGCCGCGGGAUAC
rnacentral:rRNA from 1 species